CCUACGGGCGGCAGCAGUGAGGAAUAUUGGUCAAUGGGCGCGAGCCUGAACCAGCCAAGUCGCGUGAGGGAAGACGGUCCUAUGGAUUGUAAACCUCUUUUGUCGGGGAGCAAAAGACGCCACGCGUGGCGUUCCGAGAGUACCCGAAGAAAAAGCAUCGGCUAACUCCGUGCCAGCAGCCGCGGUAAUACGGAGGAUGCGAGCGUUAUCCGGAUUUAUUGGGUUUAAAGGGUGCGCAGGCGGAAGAGCAAGUCAGCGGUAAAAUUGAGGGGCUCAACCUCUUCGAGCCGUGGAAACUGGUUGUCUUGAGUGGGCGAGAAGCAUGCGGAAUGCGUGGUGUAGCGGUGAAAUGCAUAGAUAUCACGCAGAAUGCCGAUUGAGAAGGCAGCAUACCGGCGCCCGACUGACGCUGAGGCACGAAAGCGUGGGGAUCGAACAGGAUGAGAUACCCCUGUAGGC
rnacentral:rRNA from 1 species